rnacentral:lncRNA from 7 species
AGCUUUACUUUGAUGCUAUCUCCUUUGCAGUCACUGUUGAAAACAUCCCUGUUUUUCCCAGAAAGGAGGGCUGUAGCUGGGCCCCUGGUGACUCAUGGUGGGGCAGAGGUCCCUGCCCAGGUUCCUGAGGGCCGGUGCCCGCCAUUUUGGUCCUGAAGAGAUGAGAGCUGUGGAGUUAAACUGCAGCGAAGGAACCUGAUGUUGGCUGCUGGGAAAGGUGCUCCAGAGUAUAGAGACUGGAGGCUGCAGGCUCCCAGCUGCUGGUGUUUCUACAGGAAGGCUGAGAACCCUUUUAAUGGAGACACGGAGAGGCCACGAGCUCGUUCCGAUGGCUUUAUUGGCAGCGCAAUGAGCUGAAGUAGUGUUUACCAGCAUUUACUUCACAUCAGACCUGUGAGCACUUAAGCAUGUGAUCGCUCUGUCUACAGAGGAGAAGAAAAGGUGUCCAUUUGUCCACCAUCAGGUCCCUGGCCAGCCUCCUAACUAAGGAUGGGUACUCAGUUAUUAAGUGUCUUCAGUCAGUCACUAAAUUAUAUUCUCAUGAUUCCAACUGAAUGCUGCUAAGCAAGGCAACAUAUUUCAGCUUGGGACAAGGUAUGUGAAAAUACCAGUCCUUGGAAGGCUUGUAGGAAAUGAGAGAAAUAAUGAGGAAAACCUCAGGGUAACACUCACAGAAAAUGUGGUAAUUACCAAGUAUUCUAUUACCCUUGCAACUGAAUUUAUUGUGUAUUGCAGAAGGUGAUACCCUGCAUCUGAUAUUAAAAUACAAAAUAUAAAUCCCUCCCAAGUGGGAUGAUGCAAAGCUGAUAUGAGUACUAGUACUCUUAAACUGGUAUUUAUCGCUCUAUCUUAGAGACUUCCUUAUCUUGCAAGUUUGCCUCCUUGUUCUAGUUAUUUAUUGCUCUUUGAUUUUUCUGUGGUUGCACACAGCUCUCCUGCUGGUCACACUGACAGAAUUCAUUCCUAUGCAAACAGAAAGAAAGAUUUAAAUAGAAUUGAAUUGUACUUAUGCUUUGUGCUUUGCUUCUCUGUUGGAUUGGAUUUUGCUCGCUGUCAGAAGGAAGUAAUCAUGUCAAUUCAUAAUGGACAAAAUUCUCCUCAUUCUCCUUGAUGGAUCUUAUCUCCAACACGCUGCUUUCAGGAUGGCACUGUGCUUAAGGCCAGUGCAAACCAGAGUAAAGGCUAAACCAUUCUGCAGCACUUCUAAUUUAGGAGAACGUGCAGACCCUCACUGAACUUUACUGAGGUCUGUUGCUGUAUUUAGAAACACACAGUGGCCACUAUUAAAAAUGAUCUGCUUUUGUAAUGUUGGAAAUAGUAGGAUAUUAAAUACUCCACAUGCAAAU